GAUGAAGAACGUAGCGAAAUGCGAUAAGUAAUGUGAAUUGCAGAUUUCAGUGAAUCAUCGAAUCUUUGAACGCACCUUGCGCCUUGUGGUAUUCCACAAGGCAUGCCCGUUUGAGUAUCAUUAAAUCAUCAACUCUAAAACCUUUGUGGUUUUUUUAGAGCUUGGUCUUGAGGGUUUUGCAGGCUUUUUUUUUUUUCGAGUCUGCUCCCUUUAAAUGCAUUAGCGAGACUUCCCUAUGCUGAACCGUCUCUUUGACGUGAUAAUUAUCUGCGUCGAAUUUUGGUUCUCGUUGGGCUUGCUUCUAAUCGUCUGUUAAAGACAAAACGGAUUUGGGUGUAUAUAUGCGCCUUUUUCCAAAACCUUUUUUGAUCUCAAAUCGGGUAGGACUACCCGCUGAACUUAAGCAUAUCAAUAAGCGGAGGA
rnacentral:misc_RNA from 1 species